AGGGCUCUAGCAAGAAGAUGCCAGCAGAGGCUUGAAAAGUGCCUACCCCUGGCCUGGGAUGCUUCCUCCUGGGAUGCUCCCACUUGGAACCCAACUAUUGUGCUGCAGAAGUUUAACUUAACUGUGUAAGGAGGCCAAGAGGAGGCCCUGGCUGCCAGCCAGCAUCAACUUCCAGUGACGUGAGUGUGCCAUUCUGGAACUGGAUCCUGCAGCCUCGGUGGAGCAGCCUCAGCUGAUGCCAUGUGGAACAGAGAUGAACUGCCGCUGCCGAGCUCUGCCCACGUUGCAGAAUCAUGAGCAAAUAUGUUGUGGAUUGGCUGUAACUCUGCUCUGGGAUCCAGGCUGAAGGAGCAGGCUCUAUCUGGAACAUUACUAGUCUCCAGGCAGAAGAAAAAGAGACAAUGGAAUGGAUGAUUGAAUGGAUGAAUGAACUCCACAGGAAGAUGAGGAAAGCCUUUAUGGAUGGAGUGAGCUUGCAGCAGAGUCUCAAAGGGCCUACCUGGAAUGCCAUGCUCCCUCACCGCCAAUGCUGCCCUACCAAAUUCAGCCCAUAGACCUUCAAAAACCAAUUCAAAUCUCCAAGAAUCCAAGUCAGAAGAAAUUGCUGCCUCCUCUGAAUAAUUAUUGCUGACACUGAUUGCACUCUGUGCUUAUUGCUCAGUCCUUUGAGUUAUCUCGUCAAUAUUUCCCAUUUGUCCUAUAUCCAUCCCCACCUAGGAAUGAAUGGGACUUCAUGAUUCUGUCUUUCUAGUAUUAGAUGUCUUGCUCAGUAAAAAAUGUUUACUGUCUUGUAAAUUAAUUUAAAUAUAUGGUAAAAUAAUAUAGGGGUCUCUGGAAAGAUGGAAAUUGUUUGUUAUUGUUUUUGAGACGGAGUCUCACUCUGUUGCCCAGGCUGCAGUGCAAUGGUGUAAUCUCAGUGCAAUCUUGGCUCACUGCAACCUCCGCCUACCAGGUUCAAGCGAUUCUCCUGCCUCAACCUCCCAGGUAGCUGGAAUUACAGGCGCCUGCCACCACGCUGGGCUAAUUUUUGUAUUUUAAGUAGAGACGGAGUUUCACCAUGUUGGCCAGGCUGGUCUCGAGCUCCUGACCUCAAGUGAUCCACCCGCCUGGGCCUCCCAAACUGCUGGGAUUACAGGUGUGAGCCACUGUGCCCGGCCUGUUUUUGUUUUUUUGUGGGUUUUUUGUAGUUGUUGUUAUUUUUUUACACUGCAUCUCGCCUUCUCCGGAAAUAGUUUUAAAAUAGCUCAAUAACAUAAAAUUAUGUAGGAAAGGGUGUAUGAUGAGCUUAUUUAAUGCACAAGUUUUAUCGACUGUUUUGCAAUUAAUAGUAUGAAAAACUCAAUUUUUAUUUCUGUAAUUAAGAAUGACAUCAGGAAGAGGAAUGCAUGGUGACUAAGAAGAAGUCAUCAUUAGCCAGUCACCUGUCAGAUAUUCUGUAUGUAUCUGAUUAUAAGAUUAGAACACUUUUUCAUCUGUGUGUGUGCGCGCGUGCACGUGCGUGUAUGUGUGUUUGUGUGUUUCAUGAGCAUUUUUAGUACUGGGUCCUAUAUAUGUAAGUAUAAAUAUUACCAUAAAAUUUAUCAACCAAAUUGGGACUAUUUGAGAGUCACCUGGUGGGAGGGAGGGCACUAUUAAAAUUUUGCCAGGACAACAUACAUAAGCCAGGAGUGUUCAUCUUAUGAUUUUACUAUAGACAACUCACAUAUAGCUUAAGAAAGCAGCUCAAAUCACAGACAAGAUUAUUUUUCAUGAUCGUUUUCACUGGCCACCAGAAAGCCUUUUCUAAUAACAAAAGGACCACAUUUUUGAAUUUCAUCAUAGUUUGUCCUCAUGGAACUAUUGCAUGCUGGGACUUAAAGCCUCUAAACAAACUUCAUCUCCAUUACCAAUAAGAAGCCAGACAGUCGACCUGGUAACAGGACAUUCUGAACCUCCUUCCUAGACUGCAUGCAGACUGCACCGGCUGUGACAAUAAAGCCACAAUAUUGGAUCCCUCAGACUGCACCAUGUCAUGACUGCAGGAAUACUUUAUGAACCUCCAGGCUGCAGCUUUUACUAUUAUUCUCUUAGCCUCAUCCUUUCCAUUUCCCUCACAGUGAUUACACUGAUGAGGUCUAGUCUCAAAAACCUUAACUCGGUCCUCAAACCGUUUUUGGUAACCAUAUUCGAAAGGAAAAGUUUCUCGCACCAGGUGGUGAGAUUUUGCUAGUGUAAAAAAAAAAAAAAAAAAAA
rnacentral:lncRNA from 1 species